AAACUAACAAGGAUUCCCUUAGUAACGGCGAGUGAACCGGGAAAAGCUCAAAUUUGUAAUCUGGCUGUCUUCGAUAGUCCGAGUUGUAAUCUAUAGACGUGUUUUCCGUGCUGGACCGUAUCUAAGUCCCUUGGAACAGGGUAUCAAAGAGGGUGACAAUCCCGUGCUUGAUACGACCACCAGUGCUCUGUGAUACACGCUCUACGAGUCGAGUUGUUUGGGAAUGCAGCUCAAAAUGGGUGGUAAAUUCCAUCUAAAGCUAAAUAUUGGCGAGAGACCGAUAGCGAACAAGUACCGUGAGGGAAAGAUGAAAAGCACUUUGGAAAGAGAGUUAAACAGUACGUGAAAUUGUUGAAAGGGAAACGAUUGAAGUCAGUCGUGUUCUUUGGAUUCAGCUAGUUCUUCUAGUCUACUUCCUUUGAACGGGUCAACAUCAGUUUUGUCCGGUGGAUAAAGAUAGUAGGAAUGUAGCUCCCUCGGGAGUGUUAUAGACUAUUAUUGCAUGCACUGGGUGAGACUGAGGACUGCAGCUCGCCUUUUGGCCGGCCUUCGGGUACGUUCGAGCUUAGGAUGUUGACAUAAUGGUUUAACAGU
rnacentral:rRNA from 1 species